UACGUAGGGUGCAAGCGUUGUCCGGAAUUAUUGGGCGUAAAGAGCUCGUAGGCGGUUCGUCGCGUCGGCUGUGAAAACCUGAGGCUCAACCUCAGGCCUGCAGUCGAUACGGGCGGACUUGAGUACUGCAGGGGAGACUGGAAUUCCUGGUGUAGCGGUGAAAUGCGCAGAUAUCAGGAGGAACACCGGUGGCGAAGGCGGGUCUCUGGGCAGUAACUGACGCUGAGAAGCGAAAGCAUGGGGAGCGAACAGG
rnacentral:rRNA from 1 species